rnacentral:rRNA from 1 species
GACAGAGGUGCCGAGCGUUAGGCGGAAUCACUGGGCUUAAAGCGUGUGUAGGCGGAUCGUUAAGUAUCUUGUGAAAUCCCCCGGCUCAACCGGGGAACUGCUGGGUAUACUGGCGAUCUUGAGCAAUCUAGGGGCAGAUGGAACAAAUGGUGGAGCGGUGAAAUGCGUAGAUAUCAUUUGGAACGCCAAAGGUGAAAACAGUCUGCUGGGGAUUUGCUGACGCUGAGACACGAAAGCCAGGGGAGCGAACGGG